rnacentral:rRNA from 1 species
AAUGAACGCUGGCGGCAGGCCUAACACAUGCAAGUCGAACGGAUCCUUCGGGAUUAGUGGCGGACGGGUGAGUAACGCGUGGGAACAUACGCCAAGGUACGGAAUAGCCUCGGGAUACGGGGAGUAAUACAGUACGUGCUCGAAAGAGGAACGAUUUAUCGCCUUUGGAUUGUCCCGCGUUGGAUUAGGUAGUUUGUGGGGUAAUAGCCUACCAAGCCGACGAUCCAUAGCUGGUUUGAGAGGAUGAUCAGACACACUGGGACUGAGACACGGCCCAGACUCCUACGGGAGGCAGCAGUGGGGAAUCUUAGACAAUGGGGGAAACCCUGAUCUAGCCAUGCCGCGUGAUCGAUGAAGGCCUUAGGGUUGUAAAGAUCUUUCAGGUGGGAAGAUAAUGACUGUACCACCAGAAGAAGCCCCGGCUAACUCCGUGCCAGCCGCCGCAGUAA